rnacentral:tRNA from 1 species
AGAAGAAUUGCUCAGUUGGUUAGAGCUUGGUGCUGAUAACACCAAGGUCACGGGUUCGAUCCCCAUUUGGUCCC